rnacentral:rRNA from 1 species
CGUGUAGGCGGCCAGACAAGUCAGAUGUGAAAGCCCGGGGCUCAACCUCGGAAGUGCAUUUGAAACUGUUUGGCUUGAGUGCGGGAGAGGAAAGCGGAAUUCCCAGUGUAGAGGUGAAAUUCGUAGAUAUUGGGAGGAACACCGGUGGCGAAGGCGGCUUUCUGGACCGACACUGACGCUGAGGCGCGAAAGCGUGGGGAGCAAACA